ACCUAAGAGAUUUGGCGGUAUUUGUUACUUGUUAGAGAAAUUUGUUUUAAUAAUCGAUAGUCCUCGAAAUAUCUUACCUUUGUUUGUUAAUCAGUUUGUAUACCAUCAUAGAUGUAAUUUUUUUAAAAGUGGAAAUUAUUUAGAUAGUUUAAUGAAAAAAUAUUAGAUCAAGGUGCAGCUUAUACAAAGGGUAAAAUGAAUUGCAAUAAAUUGUUUUACUAUAUGGAAUAUAUAAUGAAAUUUUUAUAUGGGAGUGGAUUUAAUUGUAAUUGAAUUUUAAUAAGAUAAAAUGAUAAUAGUUCUGAAAUAUGU
rnacentral:rRNA from 1 species